UCUCAGGAGGUCAUCUAGUCCAACCCCCUGCUCAAAGCAGGACCAAUCCCCAAUUUUUGCCCCAGAUCCCUAAAUGGUCCCCUCAAGGAUUGAACUCACAACCCUGGGUUUAGCAGGCCAAUGCUCAGCCCAAUGCUCAACCCAGUGAGCUAUCCCUUCCAUCCCCUCCACUACCUUUGAGUUUACCCUUUCUC